rnacentral:rRNA from 1 species
AGAGUUUGAUCCUGGCUCAGGAUGAACGCUGGCGGCGUGCUUAACACAUGCAAGUCGAACGAAGCACUUAAUGAGAUUUCUUCGGAAUGAUUAUUUUGUGACUGAGUGGCGGACGGGUGAGUAACGCGUGGGUAACCUGCCCCAGACCGGGGGAUAACAGUCGGAAACGACUGCUAAUACCGCAUAAGCGCACAGUGCCGCAUGGCACGGUGUGAAAAACUCCGGUGGUCUGGGAUGGACCCGCGUCCGAUUAGUUAGUUGGCGGGGUAACGGCCCACCAAGACCGCGAUCGGUAGCCGACCUGAGAGGGUGACCGGCCACAUUGGGACUGAGACACGGCCCAGACUCCUACGGGAGGCAGCAGUGGGGAAUAUUGCACAAUGGAGGAAACUCUGAUGCAGCGACGCCGCGUGAGCGAAGAAGUAUUUCGGUAUGUAAAGCUCUGUCAGCAGGGAAGAUAAUGACGGUACCUGACCAAGAAGCCCCGGCUAACUACGUGCCAGCAGCCGCGGUAAUACGUAGGGGGCAAGCGUUAUCCGGAUUUACUGGGUGUAAAGGGAGUGUAGGUGGCUGCGCAAGUCAGGAGUGAAAGCCCGGGGCUCAACCCCGGGACUGCUCUUGAAACUGUCAAACUAGAGUACAGGAGAGGAAAGCGG